CCAUGUGUAGCGGUGAAAUGCGUAGAUAUAUGGAGGAACACCGGUGGCGAAAGCGGCUCUCUGGUCUGUAACUGGCGCUGAGGCUCGAAAGCGUGGGGAGCGAACAGGAUUAGAUACCCUGGUAGUCCACGCCGUAAACGAUGAGUGCUAGGUGUUGGACAGUGCCGCAGCUAACGCAUUGAGCACUCCGCCUGGGGAGUACGACCGCAGGGUUGAAACUCAAAGGAAUUGACGGGGGCCCGCACAAGCGGUGGAGCAUGUGCUCUCAUUCGAAGUAACGCGAAGAACCUUACCAGGUCUUGACAUCCAGGUGGUGCAUGGUUGUCGUCAGCUCGUGUCGUGAGAUGUUGGGUUAAGUCCCGCAACGAGCGCAACCCCUAUUGUUAGUUGCCACUCUAGCGAGACUGCCGGUAAUAAACCGGAGGAAGGUGGGGAUGACGUCAAAUCAUCAUGCCCCUUAUGACCUGGGCUACACACGUGCUACAAUGGUUGGUACAACGAGUUGCGAGUCGGUGACGGCAAGCUAAUCUCUUAAAGCCAAUCUCAGUUCGGAUUGUAGGCUGCAACUCGCCUACAUGAAGUCGGAAUCGCUAGUAAUCGCGGAUCAGACGCCGCGGUGAAUACGUUCCCGGGCCUUGUACACACCGCCCGUCAAGGGCGAA
rnacentral:rRNA from 1 species